rnacentral:rRNA from 1 species
GACGAACGCUGGCGGCGUGCCUAAUACAUGCAAGUUGAGCGCUGAAGGUUGGUACUUGUACCAACUGGAUGAGCAGCGAACGGGUGAGUAACGCGUGGGGAAUCUGCCUUUGAGCGGGGGACAACAUUUGGAAACGAAUGCUAAUACCGCAUAAAAACUUUAAACACAAGUUUUAAGUUUGAAAGAUGCAAUUGCAUCACUCAAAGAUGAUCCCGCGUUGUAUUAGCUAGUUGGUGAGGUAAAGGCUCACCAAGGCGAUGAUACAUAGCCGACCUGAGAGGGUGAGAGGCCCCAUUGGGACGGGGACACGCCCCAAACUCCUCCGGGGGGCAGCAGUAGGGAAUCUUCGGAAAUGGACGAAAGUCUGACCGAGCAACGCCGCGUGAGUGAAGAAGGUUUUCGGAUCGUAAAACUCGGUUGGUAGAGAAGAACGUUGGUGAGAGUGGAAAGCUCAUCAAGUGACGGUAACUACCCAGAAAGGGACGGCUAACUACGUG